rnacentral:rRNA from 1 species
AUGCUUUGGGCGGCGCUGUGGCUGCACCGGGCGAUGGGGAAGGCGAGCUACCUGGACUACGCCGUCGACAUGGCCGACGAGUUCGGCGGCACCACCUGGGCCAUCACAGAGUUCAGCUGGGACGUCAAUUACGCCGGCCUACAGAUCCUCGCCACCAAGGUGCUGCUGGAAGGGAAGCAGCCGGAGCACAAGGCGACGCUGGAGAAGUACAAGGCCAAGGCGGAGCACUACCUCUGCGCCUGCCUCAACAAGAACGGCGACGCCAGCAACGUCAACCGCACGGCCGGCGGAAUGCUCUUCGUCCAAGCAGUGGAACAACAUGCAGUACGUGACCAAGGCCACCUUCCUCCUCACCAAGGAAUAAGGUUACAAGGUGGCAAAUUUUAA